AUAUUUUUUAACAGAAAUUUCAAAAUAAAAUUAUGCAAGUAGGAUAACAUCAAAAUAAUAUUUCCAUUCGUUAAUUUUAAUUGAUAUAUCUUGAAACUAUAUUAAAACAAUAUUCUUAUUUAUAGAUAGUUUUUAUUUGAUUACCGAAAGUACAGAAUCGGAGAGCAAUGGAGUAUUCCCCGAUAUGGCCAUAUCUUACGAUCACUAAACUUCCACUUGCACAUGAUAAUCUGAAAAUGAAUCUACAAAGAAUCUAGGAUCACUCGUUUUGUUUCAGCCACUUACACAAAAUUGCUACAUUACAUACAGAAAGAUGAACUUUGAAAAAGGUGACAGACCCUACUAUAAUGUUUCUGCAUUUUCAUAUUUUCAUGUGAGAGGGUGGAAGGAUCAGUGAUGGUGAGGAUCUGGACCACCAGGACUUAAACGAUUCGGCUUAUAUUCGCUUCCCAACAACUCUUUCCUUCUCAUGAUCUCCUUCAACACUGUGUUCGCACUCUCCAGAAAUGCAUGCUUUUGGUUUCUGCUUGGAACUGAUGAAGAAAUAGGCCUUGCAUCAUGGCAGACCAACAUGGAUGUCAAGAGAAGGACAAGGCAUAAAUGUUUCAAACUUGCCAUUGAAAACGAUUUCAGGAUAUCAAAAACCAGAGAAAGUGGUGCGGAGAUUCUAAGCUGUGAUAGCUGGAAUAUUUAUAGGCUCAUAAAAUUGUCGUUUUGUUAUGAAUUUUUAUUUGAGACAUGUAAUAUAUGGUCAAAUAGUAUUCAUAGGGAUGAUGGGAAAUUGGUUCCGUCAGAUAUAUAGCGUGCGCACUUGUAUUGAAGUCAAUCACUAAUGAGUGCU
rnacentral:lncRNA from 1 species